AUUGAACGCUGGCGGUAUGCCUUACACAUGCAAGUCGAACGGUAGAGGGGCAACCCUUGAGAGUGGCGAACGGGUGAGUAAUACAUCGGAACGUGCCCAGUCGUGGGGGAUAACGUAGCGAAAGCUACGCUAAUACCGCAUACGACCUGAGGGUGAAAGCGGGGGAUCGCAAGACCUCGCGCGAUUGGAGCGGCCGAUGGCAGAUUAGGUAGUUGGUGGGGUAAAGGCCUACCAAGCCUGCGGUCUGUAGCUGGUCUGAGAGGACGACCAGCCACACUGGGACUGAGACACGGCCCAGCCUCCUACGGGAGGCAGCAGUGGGGAAUUUUGGACAAUGGGCGAAAGCCUGAUUCAGCCAUACCGCGUGCGGGAAGAAGGCCUUCGGGUUGUAAACCGCUUUUGUCAGGGAAGAAAUCUUCUGGGUUAAUACCUCGGGAGGAUGACGGUACCUGAAGAAUAAGCACCGGCUAACUACGUGCCAGCCGCCGCCGUAACAC
rnacentral:rRNA from 1 species